rnacentral:tRNA from 1 species
GGAGGAGUCGCAUAGUUGGUCCAUUGCGGGGGAUUGCUAAUCCCCUGAGCUGUCAAAAGCUCGCGCAGGUUCGAAUCCUGUCUCCUCCG